AUUAGAGUUUGAUCCUGGCUCAGAGCGAACGCUGGCGGCAGGCCUAACACAUGCAAGUCGAACGGACCCUUCGGGGUUAGUGGCGGACGGGUGAGUAACACGUGGGAACGUGCCUUUAGGUUCGGAAUAGCUCCUGGAAACGGGUGGUAAUGCCGAAUGUGCCCUUAGGGGGAAAGAUUUAUCGCCUUUAGAGCGGCCCGCGUCUGAUUAGCUAGUUGGUGAGGUAAUGGCUCACCAAGGCUACGAUCAGUAGCUGGUCUGAGAGGAUGACCAGCCACAUUGGGACUGAGACACGGCCCAAACUCCUACGGGAGGCAGCAGUGGGGAAUCUUGCGCAAUGGGCGAAAGCCUGACGCAGCCAUGCCGCGUGGAUGAUGAAGGUCUUAGGAUUGUAAAAUCCUUUCACCGGUGAAGAUAAUGACUGUAGCCGGAGAAGAAGCCCCGGCUAACUUCGUGCCAGCAGCCGCGGUAAUACGAAGGGGGCUAGCGUUGCUCGGAAUUACUGGGCGUAAAGGGAGCGUAGGCGGACAUUUAAGUCAGGGGUGAAAUCCCAGAGCUCAACUCUGGAACUGCCUUUGAUACUGGGUGUCUUGAGUGUGAUAGAGGUAUGUGGAACUCCGAGUGUAGAGGUGAAAUUCGUAGAUAUUCGGAAGAA
rnacentral:rRNA from 1 species